GGCCGAUGGGUCGGGAAUACAACAUGACACCCUGUCACGGUGGAGAUCAGGGGUUCAAAUCCCCUCGGGGUCGCCA
rnacentral:tRNA from 1 species